rnacentral:rRNA from 4 species
UUAAUGAGAGUUUGAUCCUGGCUCAGGACGAACGCUGGCGGCGUGCCUAAUACAUGCAAGUAGAACGCUGAAGAGAGGAGCUUGCUCUUCUUGGAUGAGUUGCGAACGGGUGAGUAACGCGUAGGUAACCUGCCUUGUAGCGGGGGAUAACUAUUGGAAACGAUAGCUAAUACCGCAUAACAAUGGAUGACACAUGUCAUUUAUUUGAAAGGGGCAAUUGCUCCACUACAAGAUGGACCUGCGUUGUAUUAGCUAGUAGGUGAGGUAAUGGCUCACCUAGGCGACGAUACAUAGCCGACCUGAGAGGGUGAUCGGCCACACUGGGACUGAGACACGGCCCAGACUCCUACGGGAGGCAGCAGUAGGGAAUCUUCGGCAAUGGGGGCAACCCUGACCGAGCAACGCCGCGUGAGUGAAGAAGGUUUUCGGAUCGUAAAGCUCUGUUGUAAGUCAAGAACGGGUGUGAGAGUGGAAAGUUCACACUGUGACGGUAGCUUACCAGAAAGGGACGGCUAACUACGUGCCAGCAGCCGCGGUAAUACGUAGGUCCCGAGCGUUGUCCGGAUUUAUUGGGCGUAAAGCGAGCGCAGGCGGUUUGAUAAGUCUGAAGUUAAAGGCUGUGGCUCAACCAUAGUUCGCUUUGGAAACUGUCAAACUUGAGUGCAGAAGGGGAGAGUGGAAUUCCAUGUGUAGCGGUGAAAUGCGUAGAUAUAUGGAGGAACACCGGUGGCGAAAGCGGCUCUCUGGUCUGUAACUGACGCUGAGGCUCGAAAGCGUGGGGAGCGAACAGGAUUAGAUACCCUGGUAGUCCACGCCGUAAACGAUGAGUGCUAGGUGUUGGAUCCUUUCCGGGAUUCAGUGCCGCAGCUAACGCAUUAAGCACUCCGCCUGGGGAGUACGACCGCAAGGUUGAAACUCAAAGGAAUUGACGGGGGCCCGCACAAGCGGUGGAGCAUGUGGUUUAAUUCGAAGCAACGCGAAGAACCUUACCAGGUCUUGACAUCCCGAUGCUAUUUCUAGAGAUAGAAAGUUACUUCGGUACAUCGGUGACAGGUGGUGCAUGGUUGUCGUCAGCUCGUGUCGUGAGAUGUUGGGUUAAGUCCCGCAACGAGCGCAACCCCUAUUGUUAGUUGCCAUCAUUCAGUUGGGCACUCUAGCGAGACUGCCGGUAAUAAACCGGAGGAAGGUGGGGAUGACGUCAAAUCAUCAUGCCCCUUAUGACCUGGGCUACACACGUGCUACAAUGGUUGGUACAACGAGUUGCGAGUCGGUGACGGCGAGCUAAUCUCUUAAAGCCAAUCUCAGUUCGGAUUGUAGGCUGCAACUCGCCUACAUGAAGUCGGAAUCGCUAGUAAUCGCGGAUCAGCACGCCGCGGUGAAUACGUUCCCGGGCCUUGUACACACCGCCCGUCACACCACGAGAGUUUGUAACACCCGAAGUCGGUGAGGUAACCUUUUGGAGCCAGCCGCCUAAGGUGGGACAGAUGAUUGGGGUGAAGUCGUAACAAGGUAGCCGUAUCGGAAGGUGCGGCUGGAUCACCUCCUUUCUAAGGAA